rnacentral:lncRNA from 1 species
UGCGGGGGUAAACAGAGGGGAAUUGGGACGGCGCUUCCUCGGGUGCGGGGUGGGGAAGUCGAGGGGUUGUGGAGCUUGUGAGCAGGCACGUGUGUGAGCACACACGCUCGUGUGCGCCCCUGGAGCGCGGAGAAGUGGGUCAGCGGGGCCUGCGUGCCUGCAGGGAGCUGUGUGGCUCAGGGCUUUGUGGGGAGCUGUAAGCCGGGAUCACAGGGGGCUUUAGGAAAGUCUGCGUCCGCGCAUCUGCCUCUGUCGUGGAGUGUGCAAAGUGUGUGCGCAGGGCAUCUCGACAACUUUUCCAUGAAAAUCAAAAAUUCCUAGCAGCCUUACUCUGCGUUUUGUAGUAUGAAAGUAUAACCAUAACAAAUACAGUCAAACAGGUUUGUUGUUUUCCUUCCUCCCCCCCCCACCCCCUUUUUUUUUAAUGUCUAACUCUGCAAGUGCACAGACACAGAGCACUGGAACAGGCAGCCCAGAGAGGUGGUGGAGUGUUCUUCUCUGGAUGUAUUCAGGACCUGUCUGGACACUUUCCUAUACAACCAGCUGUAGGGAACCCAUUAGGAGGGGAUCUCUAGAGGUCCCUUCCAACCCCCACAGUUCUCUGAUAGUAACCCGUGCUGUAAUUCUGCAGGCAGGUGUUUGCUUUGUAAGCAGAGUUGCAGAUCUCCAGGAUUUUUUGUUUGAUUUUUUGUUUGUUUGUUUGAUUGAUUGUUGUCUGGGGUUUAUUUUCUUAAUCCAGCUCUCACCACAAUGGGUAACAAAUUCAAAAUUCAAGGGAUUAAGUAAUACCUGCGGUAUGUGUCUGGCUUAAAUACAGAGAUGUGCAAGUGUUGACUGGUAAUUGUAUUGUAUCUUGCAUUUUUUUUCAUUUUAGAGCAGGUCUUGUAAUUGGGAAUUUAUCAGCAUUUCCACUGGGGUAAUUUUACAGGAUUAUCCGCCCUCUGUUCUUCCUGCUGGUUCAUCUGGACUCUGUGGAGUGUGCUGCUAGCCAUGAAGCCUUCUGUGGGGGUUUAUUCAUGCUAUUACUGACAUGGAGCCCUUCGCACUUGGAUUAACUCUUUACUCACUUUUCAUCUGAAUCGCGUGGAUCAGUCUGUUUAUAAAAAGGACACUACCAUGCAUCCCUUUUCUGUUUGCAUUUUGAAGUUGAACUCUCAAUACAGACAUAAUGAGUUCAGACUGUUUACUUUGCUUGAAUUUUAGAGGAAGAACUGAAAUAUAAAGAUAGAUAAGACUAUAAUACUGCAUGGGCAGGUAAAUGCUUUUGAAAUUUUAUAUAAGAAGUCUUGAAAACAUGUCACAAAAGGCCACAAAUUGAGUGAGCAUAGUAUUCAUCAAGGUAAAAAUCACUAAGAUCAGGCAGUACUGGAUAGUAGGAAGACUUAUUCUUCUAAGCAAGUGCAACACUGACACUCUUUAAAAUGGGGUAGAAUACUCCUAAGAUAGAGCAAACUGAAAAUGCUUUCCCAACUCACCAACAAAAGAAUCUAUUUUUUAAAGCGUGGCAGUGUAAAUAAAAGCAAUCAUGUUAAACUACCCCUAAAAAGCUCAGUAUUCUUGUUUGUAGUGCAGUGUGUCGUUAUUUGGAUUGCCACCGUGCCUAGAAGGCUGGGUGGUGAACCAGAAUUCCUCAUUCCAGUUGUGCAGCACCUGCUGCAACAGGCAGUCCUGCUGCAGAGGGUGCAGCCUCCUGCUUCUGUUUGCUAGCAGGCUGCAGAGGUCUAAAAUUAGCCCCUUGUUUUGUCAUGUGGUUGUGUGUAUGUUUGUAUACAUAGAACUUGUAACAUGCCAUCCCUGGCUCAAACGGGGCCACAUGAAGUGAAGGUUAUAUGCAGACUGUAUAUUUAUGAAUGAGGGUUAUAUGCAGGCUAUAACUUUAUGAAUGAAGAUGCUAUUUAGUCUUCAGAACUGAAAUAUACAAGGCAUGUCAUUACAGGGCUUGGGGUUUUGUUUUUUUUUUUUUGCUAGGAGAAACGUGUAGCAUUCAAAGGUAAUAGUGAUGUAUGAUAGGCUUGAAAAAAUGCCCUCUACCUUAAAACCCCACGAGAAAGAUCUCAACAGAUCCCACCUAUGUUGCAUGAUGCAUAUAUUAACCUUUGCUCUGUUGCAUACAAAAGCUUCACGCAUAAAGUUCCCCGACUGAGUCACUGCAGGGCUUUAUCCAUUUUGUAUUCCCCCUUCAGUGCUGCUGCUUCACACUUGGAGGUGUGAUUAUUCUGCAGUAUCACACAAGAUUAUUAACGUUGUAUUAAGCCACAUAAUUUUGUUCCCAUGUUGAAAUUAGGUUGUGGGAGUCCACUCGACAGAGAAUCUUGGCAUAAGCUUGGGGACCUGUGCUCACAUUUUCUGCACUGAGUGAUUUCUGCAGGUGGAGCCUUAAAGAAUACAAAUGCCUAGGCAGGUCCCAUAGAAAAAGCAGUUAAAAUGCUUAACAUGUCCUUUUGAGCUACUAAUUGCACUUCCAAGAUGGUGCUUAUUUAAACAAACAAAAAAAAAAGUUGGCAACAACUCAAUUUUCUCUAUUGUAAGAGUGCAACAGGAAUCCCUUUUUUAAAUGCCUCAGAGGGCUCUUUUUAGCAAAGAAAUGGAGGAGGGCCUAGGAGCAGAGAACAUAUACAUAGUUGUUUAUCUGAGAAAUAAAAUGGUUGUUAGAAUUCUGGUUUGUGCUGUACUGGAGCUCUGAAGGAAGAGGGUUUUUUGUUUUUCUUGAAGCUGAGAAACAUAUUAGGUAUUUUACUGUGGCUGCUGGGUAGACAUGAUUGUAGCUGUGGUGUUCUGAUGGUUCUCUUCUGUGUCUUAGUUAUGUUCCUGAUCUGCAAGCUUUACUCAGCAGGUUAAGCAGCUUCCUACCUUAAGCCCAUCUGAGGGCUGUGUCUGGGAUAUGCCACAGCAAUGUUUGUGUUGUUAGGGGACAGCCACUCACUGUGGUUAGGGGACUGAGGGAAUAGUUUCAUAUACUGCACAUUACAAAUUAUCUGUGUAGCUUUACUGCUUGAGAUAUUUUGUGGUGUAAUAAGAGUGUAGCGUGGAUCACACAGGUUAAAUGGAGCUCCACAAAAGCAUCGCUCUGUUUAGAUCAGUGUGCAGGUCAGGGAUCAGAAAAUGGCCUGUGCUUCACAGACAGAUCCUUCUAUGUGGAACUCCCUGGAAUGACAUCUGCAAAGAUAGGAAGGCUUGAAAUUAAACUAAAGCAAAGCUAGGUUUGCACCUGUACAACCUGAUCCAUAUCACUUGUCAGGACAUGAGCCUGUACCAUAAUUGACUAAAUAAUUAAAACUAAAAAGGAAUUUUUUGCUGAUGGACAUCUUAAGAGAUACAAGUCUGGAGACGAGAGAGCUGGUCUUAGGAUAACAACCUGUCACAGGACAGGUCUUUCCCACAUGGAGCAGCCCUGGUGCCUUCCGCUACUACUGCUGUUCAAGUAGGAAGUAAGAAAGUAGCUGAAGACAAUUAUCCAGUGACAGAACUGAGAAAACUACUGGUCUGGUUGGUCAUUGCAGGCUGCAUCAGUACAGCCAUCUCUGAAACAGCUCUGGAAACCAACCAGUGGCAUGACUGAUGCAGUGGGAUGUUUUUUAAACCACUGCUGGUUUAAACCAUUGCAGCUGCUCCAGCACAGCUGAAUGGGGGCAGAAAGGGGGCCAGGAAAGAAAUCUACAGUGGGUUUUGCUGCAUGACAGAGGGGUUGUGAAACAGCAUCUGCAGGCUUGUUGGUCUAAACUGAAGUAAAGACAAUUCGUGAAUAGCUCGGCUGUUUCUAUCAGGAUGUGGCUAGAUGGGAGAGGAAGAGCUGUAGAAGUGAGUUUUGUAGUGUGCUGAACUAGAGUUCAGCAGCUCUAAUAUUUAGAAGCAUUUAAAUCUCUUCCUAAAAAUACUUCCUAGAUAAAACAUUCUGGAACUUGAUACUGAGAUCUGUUGUCCUUCAGAUAUAAAGCAGGAAGGCUGGAAAUGAGCUAAUGUCCAAAUCUCAUUUAAAAUAAUUAGGUUGUCUUUGACUCCAAGUUCUACUGCAAGGCUAAGAGAAUAAUGUGGGUGAAAACAGGAAGUCAGCAUGCACAAAGCAGCAGAGACAUGGAAAUUAUUCUGCAGAUGUAUGAAAUAAAACACGGUAAGGAACCUUACAGUAUACAGGGCCGUAUUUGAAAUAGCUUACAAACAUGGACAAAGAUAAAUUAUGCCAUACUUCAAACAAAAAUAGUUUUUCAUAUGAUGGAGGAUUGUCAGAUAGGAUUGUCUGGACACAGUGGGUGGAAUAAGGAUUUGUAUUUGUUGACAUCUUGGUAAGCCCAUUCUCCAACCACCUUCAGAAAGCAGGUGAGGUCAGCCUUCGGAGCCCUGGUCUUUGCACUGAUUUGCGUUUUUAAACUUAAAAUGAGGCUUCAAGAUGGAACUCUUCCAUUUAAAGUUGAUGUCUUAUGUUCCAUCUUACUUGUACAGUAUAUAAUAUGCAAUUAAAAUAAAUUCUUAAAGUAAUUAGUAGACCCAACUGGUCUUUUAAUGUAUUGGCACUUCAGAAUACACUAAAAUAGAAGAUAAAACAUUCGGAAUGUUGCCUAGCAUUCAUUAGCUAGCCAAAGUGUUUCUGGGGAUACCAGUUCAAGGUCAGGCUUUGCUUUGCAAUUUAGUUUUGCACUAAUGUUUGUUUUGUAUACAGCAGCCUUCUACUAUAGGCAUAAUUAUAAAUAAUUGCUGAUAAUUAAGAACUGUGCUAAUUGUCUGGACUCUGUGCUACACUGAGAACAUUUGGAAGUAGUAUUUCUAAUCAUUAGAUGUUUUGCAGGCUAAGGAGUAGGAAUUUGAGUGAUCAAAAUCCAUCUGAAGUGUUAUCAAGUAGAUCUGUCUGGAAGAUAGAGCAGUCAAGGACCUCUGGGCUGAAACAUGCCUUUCAUACUCUGACCCUGUUACAGUUCUCUUCUGAGCCUAAACUGAUCUUAUAGCAACUGAACGUGGAAGUGAGAAUUGCUGUGUCACACUACUGAACCUAUAGUAAAUUUUGUCACUCCUCUAGACCCUGAGGGUUACGUGUAUUCCAUUAGAAUACAGUGCUUCAGGUUGCCUGUCUGCUGGGAAAUCAUGAUUGCCAAUGGAGUGCAGGGGUGGCAGGGCUGGGGAGGGGAAGUGUGGGGCUGGAGAAUGGCAGCCUUGCUGCCCCUGCCAUGCACCUCAGCACCAAGCAGCUCAUGUUCCUAUAAAUGCAGAGUGAAGGAGGACAAAGAAGCCUUUAUUACAUUUUAAGUACCUGAAGGUUAAAAUUUAAUAAUGUGCUCAUUUUAAAAAAUAUGAAUUGACUUAUUUUUAGACUUAAUGAAACAGAGCCUGAACUACUUACGUACUAUAGCUCUGCAGACUGAUUAGGCCUUCAGGAUUGGAAAAUAGCAAACAUCCUGCAACUUUGUGACUUGGCUGAUAGGAACCAAGGUGCUUUGUGUGUCCCCCCCCUUCACAAACAAAAUUCCAGCAAGUUUGACUCUCAUUCAGCUCCAUGUAGAGUAAGAGCUUUGCAGAAUUACCUUAUAGAUUUUGUGAAAGAACACUAAAGCACUUGUCAGCCUCAAAGUUUUCUGUAGUACAGCUUAUUUAUGCAAAACCAAAUAACUUCAUCUGAUUACCUGUAUUACAGAUACUCACUCAACCAGCAUAUACUGACUUAAUCAAUACCUUAUACAUAGUUGUGAUGCACACUCACAUACCCUCCCAGUAUGUAAGCCUGCAGAAGAGGAAGGGUUCCUUAUUGUUUUGUAUUGGCAGCCAGGUAAAACUCUGGUUUUGGAGCUUUUCAAAAUAUGAUGAGGCAGUAUUACUUCCCUGAUGGAGCCAUUAAAUGUUAAUACACUGACAGCCCCUAAAGCAUCAUCCUACUGAGUGAAAAAGCACUUGAAAUGAAUCAGUUGGCUUUGUGUCGGGUACUCAACAUCUUUUUCCUCCCCUUUCUUAAUUUAAAUUAUUCCAGCAUUAAGCAAUCAGUGGGUUAAGGGAGUCUUUGACAUUUUCCCCACACAUUAGAGAUAACUUCUUGGGGGUGGGGGAGUGUUCCAGGACUCACAGUAUGCUGCUCCCCUGUGCAAGCAGUGCUAACAUGCCAUCCCUCUCCACUACAGAGGGAAGACAAUGUAAAUCCCAGGGUGUAUUCUGAAAAGUGUUCAUUAUUGUUUAGCAAGUUCCCUAAUCUGAUCUUUUUCCCUAGUUUUGUAUUUUUAAUGCUAUAUGCUUAAAAAACCCUACUCAAAUAAUCUUCUAUAAAAUGCCAAGAAUGCUUACUCUGUUCAACAAAUACAUGUUUACACAGACUUUUCUCCUCCCAGUAUGCAAGUCUUACAUAAAUAUUAAGUGUUCUCAGAGCUCUUUUAUGUAUAUUUCAGUAGAGCAGUCAUAUUCACUCUUAGUAUUAAAUGUAAGGUUGCAUUGCAAUAGAUAGGCAUCUCCUCAAACUUGUGAGCAUUCAACAUGAAAUUAUCUGUGGUGUUCUGCUGGGCUUUAGUCUGUUUUCCUCCUCAUUGGAGGAAACAUUUCUGCACUUUGGUUUAUCUGUUUGCAUAGUUAUGCACUGUAGCAAGAUAGAACCAGAAGCAGUAUUACAUAGCAGGGUGUAAGUUGGCUUUGGGUUAUUGUGUGAAGCUGUGAGUGGUUGGGUAAUCCAGAGGUGUACCACAUCAGAGCUUUUUUUAACAUAAUGUAUCUGAAUAAAACAAAAAUGACUGCUAUGAAAUUUAAAAUGAUUUGUAGGUAUAUCAAGAAUUAAAGAACUAAAUGCCUUUCUCUGUACAGGUUUUAUGGGGAGUGCAUGCAGGUAUGUUUGUGUCCCAAAUUUUAAAUAAGGAUUUAGCUAAAGUGCAUUGAAUUUACCUCAUGUGGCACUUGAGGUCCAGCUGGGAUACACUGGGUAUGUUUGCUUCUUUUCCUCACUGCUAUAUCUUCCCUAUAACUACUUUCUCCAUUAUUUUUCAGGAUUAAGAUCAUUAAAUAGUUUGUUGUCCAUACAUGGUAUGGACUGAGAGUACCUGCAGGUAUUGCCUCAACUCAUCCAUUCAAGUGGGUGUGAAGCUCUGCCAUAAACCUGCUCAAGCUUCUCUUGUUUUCUGCAGGGAAACAGGUGUUGCACCUCAUCAUCCCAGCCAGGGCAGCAGCCAUGUGCAUAGGGCUGUUGCUUCAUUUGUCUGUACUUUAGGCUGAAAUGUAGUUCAAUUCCCAUAGAAAUCAUCACUUACUCAGUAAAAUGUCAACACUGAAGGGAACACAAAAGCAAUAAACUUAACUCUCUUUGAGCAAACACUUCCUUAAAGAACAGUUAAUGGUUCGUGGGAAAUGCAGAAAAUGAGCAUACUUGAAAGAACAAGUUUAGUAAAUUCUGAUUUUUAUAGUGAACAUAGGAAUACAGUAUUAUAAAAUUAGCUUAAUUUCCCCCCUCCCAGAGAGGAAUGGGUAUCUUUUAGGUGCAUUUCUGUUGUUCCUUCUCUUUAAAGUUUAAAGCAGUAGUUUCUAUUCUUCCUAAUAAAGCUCAAUAGCAGAGAUAUUAACCCUUUAUAUACAGGCUAACAUUUUUGAUUUGACUAUACAUAAGGACUACUAUAGUUUUGUUAUCUAAAAAGCACUGUACCUUGACUUUACAUAGGAUUUUAGACUUUGUUCAGCGUUACUAUUUAACUAAUGCCUAGAUGAUGGCAGUUGGAAGCAAGAUUUUGCUUCCUGCUGGGCAAGAGGAAGAUUUUAGGUGGAUAUGGCCAGAAAAACAAUCACAUUGUUGUCUAGAUUUUAGUCUGUUAAGGAGCUGUGCUGCAAAUACACACUUAAAUUACUACUAUAAUGCAGAAAAUUGGACUCCCCCAAAUGCAUUCCUUCUUUUUCCUCCCACUCUAGCUUUUGGCCAGCUUACAUCUCUUAUCCAGCUCAUCUCCUUACCAGAGAAAAACCAGUGUUGAUGCAAGAGUGAAGGGGGAACAGUCUUGGGGAGGGAGGAACCACAGCAGGACCAGCUUAGUUCUGCUUAGCAUGAUAUGAAACCUCUAGGCAAGCAGCUGGGGAUGAGGAGAAUCCCAAAUUAACUUUGAGUUCAAGGCUUAUCAGGCAGUGCCAGAAUCACUUAUGUGUGGGGAAAACCUUUGGAUCUGAUUUUUGAGCAAAGUCUUGGAUUACAUGAAGUUUCAAGGUUAGAGGCACAAAGUUACAGAGGAAUCAGAUCUGGUAUGAACAUCCAGUAUUAGAGUUUGGAAUGGGGGAAAAAAGAAGGCCUCACAUGUUAAAAUAUUAGAUUUUUGAUUGACUGACUAGGUUACACUAUAUAGUAAGUAUAGCUUUAGUACUGCAGAGUGCAGCCUCUCCUACUGCUUUCAGUAGAGCAGAAGUAACCUGGCAGUCAGUCAGCAUGUGCCUUCUGCACAGGCAUAAGAAAAACACACUUCAGUUAUCUGGUUGCUUCCAGCCUAAUCAGACUUUGGUUUUUAUAGUUUAUUCCCAG